rnacentral:rRNA from 1 species
CAAUAGCGUAUAUUAAAGUUGUUGCGGUAAAAAAGCUCGUAGUUGGAUUUCUACCGAAGAUAGCCGGUCGGGUCUUCGACCUUGUAUCUGGUUUUGUCUUUGGUAUCCUCAUAGGGAACGUUUCUGCGCUUUAUUGCGUGGUGCGGUAUCUAUGACUUUUACUUUGAGGAAAUUAGAGUGCUCACGGCAGGCAAACGCCUUGAAUAUAUUAGCAUGGAAUAAUAACAUAGGAUCUUCGUCCUAUUUUGUUGGUUUCUAGGGCUAAGAUAAUGAUUAAUAGGGAUAAUUGGGGGCAUCUGUAUCAACGCGUCAGAGGUGGAAUUCUUGGAUUGCGUUGCGACAAACUACUGCGAAAGCAUUUGCCAAGGAUGUUUACAUUGA